UACGUAGGGGGCUAGCGUUGUCCGGAAUCAUUGGGCGUAAAGAGCGUGUAGGCGGCCCGGUAAGUCCGCUGUGAAAGUCGGGGGCUCAACCCUCGAAUGCCGGUGGAUACUGUCGGGCUAGAGUGCGGAAGAGGCGAGUAGAAUUCCUGGUGUAGCGGUGAAAUGCGCAGAUAUCAGGAGGAACACCAAUUGCGAAGGCAGCUCGCUGGGACGUAACUGACGCUGAGACGCGAAAGCGUGGGGAGCAAACAGG
rnacentral:rRNA from 1 species